rnacentral:lncRNA from 1 species
UCCUCCUCCAUCUCCAUCUCUUUGCUCCUCCCAUGUUCCUUCUCCCUCUCUUUCCUCCUCUCCUCGCUUCCCCUUUCCCCCCUUCUCCCGCCAUGCCUCACCACUCCUCUUCCCCUCUCUGGUCACGAUAUUGCGGCCCCGUGGCCAGAUCACAGUCUUUGGUCGAGGCCAAAUUUAGGGGAGAAGGGAAGAGGGAGGGAGAGGAAAGAAGAGAAAG